rnacentral:rRNA from 1 species
GACGAACGCUGGCGGCGUGCUUAACACAUGCAAGUCGAGCGGAAAGGCCCCUUCGGGGGUACUCGAGCGGCGAACGGGUGAGUAACACGUGAGUAAUCUGCCCCUGGCUUUGGGAUAGCCACCGGAAACGGUGAUUAAUACCGGAUACGACCACUUCUCGCAUGGGAUGGUGGUGGAAAGUUUUUCGGCCAGGGAUGUGCUCGCGGCCUAUCAGCUUGAUGGUGAGGUAAUGGCUCACCAUGGCUUCGACGGGUAGCCGGCCUGAGAGGGUGACCGGUCACACUGGGACUGAGACACGGCCCAGACUCCUACGGGAGGCAGCAGUGGGGAAUAUUGGACAAUGGGCGGAAGCCUGAUCCAGCAACGCCGCGUGAGGGAUGACGGCCUUCGGGUUGUAAACCUCUUUCAGCAGGGACGAAGCGCAAGUGACGGUACCUGCAGAAGAAGCACCGGCCAACUACGUGCCAGCAGCCGCUGUAACAC